rnacentral:tRNA from 1 species
GGAGCGUUGGCCGAGUUGGUCCAAGGCAGCGGCUUGCUAAGCCGUGGCCGCACUGCGCGGCCCGCUGGUUCGAAUCCAGCACGCUCCGCCA